rnacentral:tRNA from 1 species
GGGCGCGUAGCUCAGUCGGCAGAGCAUCUGACUUUUAAUCAGAGGGUCGUGGGUUCGAAUCCCGCCGCGCCUACCA